rnacentral:rRNA from 1 species
GUAGGGUGCAAGCGUUAAUCGGAAUUACUGGGCGUAAAGCGUGCGCAGGCGGUUAUGCAAGACAGAUGUGAAAUCCCCGGGCUCAACCUGGGAACUGCAUUUGUGACUGCAUGGCUAGAGUACGGUAGAGGGGGAUGGAAUUCCGCGUGUAGCAGUGAAAUGCGUAGAUAUGCGGAGGAACACCGAUGGCGAAGGCAAUCCCCUGGACCUGUACUGACGCUCAUGCACGAAAGCGUGGGGAGCAAACAGGAUUAGAUACCCUGGUAGUCCCACGCCCCUAAACGAUGUCAACUGGUUGUUGGGAGGGUUUCUUCUCAGUAACGUAGCUAACGCGUGAAGUUGACCCGCCUGGGGAGUACGGCCGCAAGGUUG